rnacentral:rRNA from 1 species
AUUGAACGCUGGCGGCAUGCUUUACACAUGCAAGUCGAACGGUAACAGGUUAAGCUGACGAGUGGCGAACGGGUGAGUAAUGCAUCGGAACGUGCCCGAUCGUGGGGGAUAACGCAGCGAAAGCUGCGCUAAUACCGCAUACGAUCUGAGGAUGAAAGCGGGGGACCGUAAGGCCUCGCGCGACCGGAGCGGCCGAUGUCAGAUUAGGUAGUUGGUGGGGUAAAGGCUCACCAAGCCAACGAUCUGUAGCUGGUCUGAGAGGACGACCAGCAACACUGGGACUGAGACACGGCCCAGACUCCUACGGGAGGCAGCAGUGGGGAAUUUUGGACAAUGGGCGAAAGCCUGAUCCAGCAAUGCCGCGUGCAGGAAGAAGGCCUUCGGGUUGUAAACUGCUUUUGUACGGAGCGAAAAGGCUCUCUCUAAUACAGGGGGCUCAUGACGGUACCGUAAGAAUAAGCACCGGCUAACUACGUGCCAGCCGCCGCAGUAA